rnacentral:rRNA from 1 species
UACGUAGGGUGCGAGCAUUGUCCGGAAUUAUUGGGCGUAAAGAGCUCGUAGGCGGCCUGUCACGUCGGAUGUGAAAGCCCGGGGCUUAACCCCGGGUCUGCAUUCGAUACGGGCAGGCUGGAGUUCGGUAGGGGAGAUCGGAAUUCCUGGUGUAGCGGUGAAAUGCGCAGAUAUCAGGAGGAACACCGGUGGCGAAGGCGGGUCUCUGGACCGAUAUUGACGCUGAGGAGCGAAAGCGUGGGGAGCGAACAGG